UAGAAUCCGGCCGCCGUGUGUUCUGUGAU
rnacentral:sRNA from 1 species